AGGAGACACACAGGAGGAAGUGAUGACACAGCAGACAGACAGAGUGUCCAUCCUGAUCCUAACAGUGAGACGUACACAGCUCUGAACAUGAAGACCAGGUCACCAGAGUAUGACACCCUGGCAAAUGUGAGGGACUCCCCAGUGACACAGCCCCUCAAAUAGACACUUGGCCCUCCGAUUAUGAAAACUUCAGAGAACCACCACAGAACCUGGACUGAAGAGAACCACCACAGAAC